AGUGAGACAUUGGGGGAUAAGCUUCAAUGUCAAGAGGGAAACAGCCCAGAUUAUUAGUUAAGGCCCCUAAAUGAUUACUAAGUGGUAAAGGAGGUGGGAUUGCUAAGACAAUCAGGAGGUUUGCCCAGAAGCAGCAAUCCUUUAAAGAGUGCGUAAUAGCUCACUGUUCGAGUGAUCCUGCGCCGAAAAUGAAUGGGACUAAGUAAUUUGCCGAAACUGUGCG
rnacentral:rRNA from 1 species